AUACGGAGGGUGCAAGCGUUAAUCGGAAUUACUGGGCGUAAAGCGUGCGCAGGCGGUUUGUUAAGUCAGAUGUGAAAGCCCCGGGCUCAACCUGGGAACUGCAUUUGAAACUGGCAAACUAGAGUGUGGUAGAGGGAAGUGGAAUUCCUCAUGUAGCGGUGAAAUGCGUAGAUAUGAGGAGGAACACCAGUGGCGAAGGCGACUUCCUGGACCAACACUGACGCUCAUGUACGAAAGCGUGGGUAGCAAACAGGAUUAGAAACCCCUGUAGUCC
rnacentral:rRNA from 1 species